UGGGGAAUUUUGGACAAUGGGCGCAAGCCUGAUCCAGCCAUGCCGCGUGCAGGAUGAAGGCCUUCGGGUUGUAAACUGCUUUUGUACGGAACGAAAAGGUGCCUUCUAAUAAAGGGCGCUCAUGACGGUACCGUAAGAAUAAGCACCGGCUAACUACGUGCCAGCAGCCGCGGUAAUACGUAGGGUGCGAGCGUUAAUCGGAAUUACUGGGCGUAAAGCGUGCGCAGGCGGUUUUGUAAGACAGAGGUGAGAUCCCCGGGCUCAACCUGGGAACUGCCUUUGUGACUGCAAGGCUGGAGUGCGGCAGAGGGGGAUGGAAUUCCGCGUGUAGCAGUGAAAUGCGUAGAUAUGCGGAGGAACACCGAUGGCGAAGGCAAUCCCCUGGGCCUGCACUGACGCUCAUGCACGAAAGCGUGGGGAGCAAACA
rnacentral:rRNA from 1 species